rnacentral:piRNA from 1 species
UAGUUGCCUUCUCUUUCCUGACAC